UCAUUUGGCUGGCAGCAGAUAACUCGGCAAACUCAAUCGAUAAAGGAGACCUUUCUGCACAGCGUGAGGCCAGAGAGUACCACAGAGCACAGCAGACAGGUUCCCUGUGGAUUUUAAUUAUUGUCCCCUGCUCUCUGCAGAAUACCAAGACCUGCUGAAAAGGAUCAUCUAGGAGAUGUUCAGAAGUGCUUUUUUGACAAGCUGUUGCCAUUCAGAACAAAU